UUUCUUUCUUAAACCCAAAUUUAUUUGCUUUUGUUGUUUAAGAGCCCUCUCCGCUCUCUUUCUUUGGAGUGUCUCAAUCCUCAAUUGCUCUCUUAGGUCAUCAACAGUUGCCCUGUCAUCACUGGUCCCUGGAUCGCUUGCCCCUGUCACAGUGGCUUCUUCACUUGCUGCCCCUGACUGACUGUCCCUUGGAGCUUCGAGGACCUCACCAACGUCUACCUGUGGGCUGCCUACUCCUAUUUGCUCUGCCUCAAUUUCUGCCUCAUUUUCUGUAAUAAUGACAUGGUAUUGUUUCAGUUAUGCAUUUGCUUCCUUUACAUCACCACCUUCUUUCAUGUCCUGUUUCAAGGGAUAGUUCGCCCUGAUUUGACUAGUGUUGUUUGUUUUCAAAAGUCAGUGUGGUUUAUCAGCUGCUACUCAACCCCCCCCAGGAGUCCUGUGAGCGUGGUCCUGAACAGGUUUUGAUGUUACAGAAAGUAGUUCCAUGUAGUUGAAACUGAGAACUAAAGAACUGCGCUCACAGGACUCUGUGGGCAGUGAGUCGCAGCUGUUGAACCACACUGACUGUGGGAAACAAACAAAACCCUUGUCAAAUCAGGGCCAACUAUUCCUUAAAUCCAAAUUUUUCUUUACAAAUAGAUCAAGAUGCCUGUAGAGACAACUGUGUAUCAUAGCAAAAUCAUUUCUUGUACAGUAGUUGUGGUCAUCGCUUGGCAAGUGAACCUCUGUUGAAGACGUGUGCCGUUCGGGAGCUCUCCUUCUCUUUGGCCUUUGACGAUAGCAAAAUAAGGUGGGUACGGCAUCAGGUUUUAAGCUGAGGCGUCCUUUUUUUGUACAAAUAAAUUGACUGUCCUCAAAAUGCACCUGCAGGGAGACUCUUAAAAUCAGUGUUAAAUGUAUACGCAAGAUAGAAUUGAAAUGUUGUUCUGUCUGCUCUAAUAAAAUGACCUUAUAAAUUUAAACUGUUGUACGUCACAUUUAUAAACAUUUACCUGACAUAUCUUUCUGCUGUUGCAGUUGCCAGUCUUGACAUCAAAAUUUUGUCUGCUGACCAUCGCCAGCCAUCUCUUCUGUCUCUUCUUUUCUUUUGGGAACCCAUACAUUCGAUGGCCCCUCUCUGAGCGGUUGGUGCACCCAAAUGCUGCACAGCCAACCAUCACUGGUCUCACUGUACAAUGGUAAACGUAAAAAUAAUUAGCUGUCAAGCCUCAGAUGCUG